GGAAUUUUGAUACUGCUUAAACACAUGAGAAGUUUCCUUUUUCUUGCUAAAACUGGACAUGGCCAUUUCGGGGGCAAAUAUAGCUGCUCUAGGGCCAGGCUCAUUUCACCUUUAUGCUUUGGUGUCCUUUGUGCAUAAUGGCUGAGCAUCUAAGUAUGUCAGCAUUCCAGAAACAAAGAAGGAAGAAGAAGGAGGAAGAAGUGGCUAUAUGAGAAUUUGGAACAUUUCCAGAAACCCCAGUAAACGUACAUCUUGUUGUCCUGAACCAAGUCCCACAGUGAUCAUUUGCUGCAGUAGAGUCUGACAACUGCUUUUUUCCCCCUCUGGACACAUUUCCUUUCCUGCAGGAGCUGAGAUUCUCUCGAUGAGGAUGGAAUAGGGAAGCGAUAUUGCCCAGGCAAUGCACCAUGGAGACCAGACCUAUCAGAGUCCAGCAGAGGAUGGUGCCCGGGCUUGGUGUGUUGGUCAUUGCUCACUACAAAUGCAAGUCAAAAUGAUAAAUGUCAAACACAAACUACCAUUUUCUUUUCUUUUUUGAGUAAAGCAAUAGCAGCCUUCCUAGUCAUGUUUACUCUUGCACCGAAUGGACGUUUGUUUUCUUGUGUUAUGUGUGUCGUUUUACAAUUGUUACCAAUUUUGGUGAAGAAGUGAAGGUUCAUUUGAUGAGAAGGGGACUUUUGGAGGGGCCAGUUCAUUCAGUUUUCAGAGGGGUCUGAUCUUCAUCUGGUGCACAGGUCCUGGGUGCCUGGCCUCCCCUUGGGAACCAUGGUCUCUUAACCCUGCCUCAAGCUGCAGAGGAUUUAAGGUUUUGUCCUAGAAGCCUUUUUAGAAGAAUCUAGAAGUCACUUUUCUAACUUCCUACCUACAGGCAUCUUGGAGGACCUCACCUGGUUCUUUGUGCAAACAUCUCCAGACAGACAUGCGUCGUCUCCAAGUCAGCCAGUUCUGAAGAGUGUGUCAGAAGGGUGUUGCUCAUAUUAAGCAGAUACCUCCUGUUAGAUUUCAGAAUAUUGUAUUAACAGUGAAACUCCAAAACCCAACUGGUCUAGUCUAAGCCAUUGCUACGGGAUUGUUGCACUGAACUGAAAGCUCCUUGUUCAGCAUAUACCAGUGCCAGUAAAGCUAUAGCAGGUGAUCCUGACUUGAGGAUGGCCUACUUCAGAUAAAGAACAUAGUCUUGGAGGCACAUGGCCUUGAAUCCACAUCCAGACUUCACUUCUGGCCUGGCCAGGACGUCUGUCUACAUCCAUCACCAGGAAGCUUAUUGCAGUAUUGUGCAAUUUGGCCCUAAUUCUGCAGCACUCGAGAAAAUCAGACAGACCUUAAUGGAACUUUUAUAAUGUUCAAAGCUUCAAAGAUGAGCCACUUGUACCCCUGCCAUGGAUGAGCUCACAGUUCCAAUGGAGAAGACACAGGAGCAAACUGAACUGACCAUAGGAUAUGGGACCAAAUCAUAUGAACACUGUCAAGAGCUGACCCCAAAUUUCUCAGAAGUAGGAAAACAUUCAAUGGGAGUGACUGCCUGGGUAUUGGGUUGACCCUGUGACCGUGCAUCGUUAUGCAGAUAACAUCCCUCUGUACCACUAGAUGUUUGGCAUCUUACAUUUCAUUUUGGAUGGGCAAGAGUACUGGAAUAGGAAUUACUUGGAACUGGUUCAUUAUGUAUUAGUAGGAUAUUGGUACAUACUGCAUUGGGAAGACUAAUGACAGCCUUGGGGGGUGUCAUAGCUUGAUAGUUUAAAGAUUAGCUUCAAGUCAUUAAAUUUGUCCAGUCAUUUA
ensembl:lncRNA